GGAAAAGAGAAAAUUGCCAUGAGUUAGUACUUGUUAAAUUUUGCUUAUCUCUAGAGCAACAACCAUAUGCUGGAAAACACAUUCAAUAAGAAUUAACUUUGAUUACCUAAAAUGGAUUUGGAACUCCUGCCUUCUUCAUCUCAUGUACUGUAUUUAGUUACCACACAAUAGUAAGUGCAAUCGUUACUAUACGUACUCCGAUGCACAAGUUAGAGGGAGGUUUCUACAAGCUGAAAUAAAAUCCACUUAAAAACGAUGUUAAGUUAAAGCUUAAAAUCUCAGUCACACAAAAAAUAAGGUCAUCACAUCACUGGGUCAUAAAAAGGGACUUGAUACUGCUAAACAGAAAUUAGAACGAAAUAACAGACGAAUUUAUCCUGCAGUGGUACAAUGUACUUAUAUUUGGUGCUCAGAGAAAAAGAAAUCAAGCCACGGGCAUAAAUCAAAAUGAUCAGCAUUGUAAGCAGUUUAAAUUUACUGGAAGUCUGCUUUUACAUUUUGCUGAUGUAAAAGCAGAUAUUUUACAAGUAUUGGCAUUUACUACCACGCAACAGUCAAGAACAAGCAAUAAAGACAUGUGCUUUAAAAAAAAUGUCACUUCCACACUUCUCCUUUGUGAACACACCUUUCAAUACGUAUUUAAGAGCUGAUUAGUCCAAAGACAAAACAGGUAUGACUUCCUCCCUACCAGCAAGUUCAAAUCAGUAUGCUUCCUUAACUACCAAAAGAUUUCAGUUCAUUCAAACAAAACCCGUGUAGCCCUAACUACCUCAAAUUAAAUUUUAAAGAAAUGUACAAAGAAAUAAAGGCAAAAGAAUUUUCAGAUUUAAAAAGAAAAAAAAAACUUAAAAAGACCCACAACAAUGCUUUUAUUUAAACUGCAUUUCCAGCUCUAAUGUUCCCCUCUAUCACUUCCCCUUUCUUCAGGCACCUCUUGUUUCAUUCAUCGGAGCUAGACAACCUCUCAGAGGGAAAUCAAAAGCUUUGAAUAAAAAAGAAACUCGAGUUUGCUUUCCAAGGAGUUUUCGAAAAUGCAAGAAGUAUAUUUUAAUAACUAAACUCUGUUUUAUAAUGUGGUUGAUAGAAUAUUACCACUUUACAUCCAUAAAAACAUUUUUGUAAAUUUGCAGAAUGUUCUAUUUUCCAACAGUACAUAAAGUAAAAUCAGAAAAGAAGAAACACAUGCUUUAGGUAAGGUCUGCAUCAGGUGAUGGAGAAGACAGACAAGUGAGAGGUGGGCUACUGGAACAAGGCAUUAAUGAACAUGGAAUUAGUGGCAUGGUACUAUGCCAAUUGACCCAAAUGAGAAAUACCAAAUGCAAUGCAUGUCUUAAAUACAUAUAAACAGAAGACUGACAUCUACACUAAAAAAGAAGCACCUAGGAGCUCAGUGCAAUAGUAUCAAUAAGAAAGAUACUACUGUUGAAGCUGGAGAGCUACACAACCGCACAAAAGUCUUUGUUACAUAGAGUCGUUAAAGUGCAUUCAAUAUGCAUUUAUAUUGUCAUGAAUGCAUCAAACAGUUGUUGCAGAUUUGUCGGCUCCACAUCCAUAAUGUGAAUCUCCCGUUCCACCACAUCCAAAAGGUAUUCUG
ensembl:lncRNA